UCGAAAGAGAGACGAUAGACAAAACACAAAAGUUCAAUGAGAUUACAAGAUUACAUAGAAAACAGAGUCUAUCACUAAUUUGGGCGUGAUUUGGGCUUGGCUGCACGAGAAAUGGUGCAACAAUUAAAAUUCAAAAAAUUUGGUCGUGUGAACUCUUAGCUCAGCUCUCCACUCCAUUACUUAUAACUGUAUGCAGAUAAACAGUAUCCUUCUUUAUUGGAGAAACUACUGACGAUGUCGAUCGAGUUACGUAUCUCUUCUUCCUCUUUUUUUAAAGGUCCUCGUGUACUCCCAUGUGAGUGUAGGAGUAUUCACGAGGACCUCCUUUUUCCUAUCCUGCCUGAUGGUGGAUUCAACUUAUUUCUGCGGAUGGACUACUUGUGGAAGCCUGGCCGUAUUUCCCAGGCUUAAGCCUUAAAGCUCUCUUAUGGUGCUGAUGCAGUCUGGAACGUUUGCCGUCUUUAUCAAACAUUGGAUGUCCUCUGCUGAAUAGCUGCUCCUUCCAACCUUCUCAAUCAAGUUGCCGGCGUUGC